rnacentral:rRNA from 1 species
AUUGAACGCUGGCGGCAGGCCUAACACAUGCAAGUCGAACGAAUGGCGGACGGGUGAGUAAUGUCUGGGAAACUGCCUGAUGGAGGGGGAUAACUACUGGAAACGGUAGCUAAUGCCGCAUACCAUCAGAUGUGCUCAGAUGGGAUUAGCUUGUUGGGGGGGUAACGGCUCACCAAGGGGACGAGCCCUAGCUGGUCUGAGAGGAUGACCGGCCACACUGGAACUGAGACACGGUCCAGCAUCCUACGGUAUGCAGCAGUGGGGAAUAUUGCACAAUGGACGCAAGCCUGAUGCAGCCAUGCCGCGUGUCUGAAGAAGGCCUUCGGGUUGUAAAGUACUUUCAGCGGGGAGGCGUUACCCGCAGAAGACGCACCGGCUAACUCCGUGCCAGCAGCCGCGGUAAUAC